rnacentral:rRNA from 1 species
AUUGAACGCUGGCGGCAGGCCUAACACAUGCAAGUCGAGCGGAUGAAGGGAGCUUGCUCCUGGAUUCAGCGGCGGACGGGUGAGUAAUGCCUAGGAAUCCGCCUGGUAGUGGGGGAUAACGUCCGGAAACGGGCGCUAAUACCGCAUACGUCCUGAGGGAGAAAGAGGGGGAUCUUCGGACCUCACGCUAUCAGAUGAGCCUAGGUCGGAUUAGCUAGUUGGUGGGGUAAAGGCCUACCAAGGCGACGAUCCGUAACUGGUCUGAGAGGAUGAUCAGUCACACUGGAACUGAGACACGGUCCAGACUCCUACGGGAGGCAGCAGUGGGGAAUAUUGGACAAUGGGCGAAAGCCUGAUCCAGCCAUGCCGCGUGUGUGAAGAAGGUCUUCGGAUUGUAAAGCACUUUAAGUUGGGAGGAAGGGCAGUAAGUUAAUACCUUGCUGUUUUGACGUUACCAACAGAAUAAGCACCGGCUAACUUCGUG